CACAGCAGCGAACAUGACGAGCGAGAAGUUGGUUACUCUCCACGAGCGGAGGAGGCACAAUCUGGAGCGUCAACCGGGAAGAAGAGCCAUAAGGAGAGACUCACAGCGAUGGAAACCCGCUUGGAUAUUCUUGAAACGAGCUUGGAGGAACUCUACCAUGGCCAACGAAGGCUUAUUGGAGUAGAGAGCUCGCAAGAAGAAGCGAAGUCUCAGAUUAACAAGGUUGCGGCCCUAAUCGAUCAAUUGUUAGAUGACACCAAAGACUCUGUGCUACACCUGCAGGAAGUCAUAGCGGAACUCACUUCUAGGGUGACCAUGCUCACGAGGGCACUGAAUGCGGGAGGAAGUAAUACCCACAUUGCACCAACACAAAACUUGAGAGCACCCGAGCCGUAUUGUUAUGGAGGUGCCGAGAUGCCAAAGAGUUCAAGAAUUUCCUGUUUAACAUGGAAUAAUACUUUCGAGCUACGAGGCCUGAUUAUGAAGAAACCAAAGUUUCCAUAGCAACCAUGUAUCUGAACGGAGAUACAAAACUUUGAUGGUGAACCCAUUGGGAGGAGAUCCAACAAGGUCGAUGUCGAGUUGACAUAUGGGAGGACUUGAAGUGGGAGUUGAGAACUCAGUUCCUAUCGGAGAAUACAGAGUUUGUCACAAGAACGAAGUUGAGACAACUCCGCCAAAAUACUUCCAUUCAAGAUUACAUGAAGCAAUUUUCUGCGCUAAUGCUGGACAUACAGGACAUGUCCGAGAAAGAUAAGUUAUUCAGCUUCCUCAAUGGUUUGAAGCCACGGGCUCAAUAAGAACUACAUCGAAGGAAUAUCGCCGAUGUGAUCAGGAUAAUUGCUGUCGUAGAAAGGCUCACCGACUUUGUUUCCUCUGAAGACCCAGGAAAAAGGAAACAAUCUUCAAGUAAUUGCCCUCCAAAAUAUUCUCGAGGGAAGGAGCUCGG
rnacentral:lncRNA from 1 species